rnacentral:rRNA from 1 species
CCUACGGGGGGCAGCAGUGAGGAAUAUUGGUCAAUGGACGAGAGUCUGAACCAGCCAAGUAGCGUGAAGGAUGACUGCCCUAUGGGUUGUAAACUUCUUUUAUAAAGGAAUAAAACGAGGCACGUGUGCCUUUUUGCAUGUACUUUAUGAAUAAGGAUCGGCUAACUCCGUGCCAGCAGCCGCGGUAAUACGGAGGAUCCGAGCGUUAUCCGGAUUUAUUGUGUUUAAAGGGAGCGUAGAUGGGUUGUUAAGUCAGUUGUGAAAGUUUGCGGCUCAACCGUAAAAUUGCAAUUGAUACUGGCAGUCUUGAGUACAGUUGAGGUGGGCGGAAUUCGUGGUGUAGCGGUGAAAUGCUUAGAUAUCACGAAGAACUCCGAUUGCGAAGGCAGUUCACUGGACUGCAACUGACACUGAGGCUCGAAAGUGUGGGUAUCAAACAGGAUUAGAUACCCUUGUAGUC